CGCCAUCUUGGUCAGUUAUUCCGAGUAAAGGUUGAGAAGAUCUGCUAUCAAUAUAGGAAGUCACAGCUAUUACGUUGAUAUUUUGGUUGCAAUCAAUUCCAUCUUGGUGUAUUGUCUUCAUACUUGGCCACAACAACCCUUCAAAUAGACCAGACUAAACUUGACCUCCAUAUAAACAUUCAAGAUGGUCGGCCUACAUGUCAGAUUUGUAAAUGUGAACGGCACGAUAUUGAUUUUAAGGAUGCUUUAGGGUCAAUGAGGAUGAAAUAAAAUGUGAGACUGUCAAUCUGACAAACCUUGCAGUGAAUAAAUGGAAACAGUGGCGUUUGUAUGAUAGAACAGUAAUAGCAGGAGUGAUAAGGACAGAUGCAUGUAGAUGUGUCUUCAUGUCGGAAACACUAGAGAAAUUGACACAUUUGGGUUUUUCAAAACUUAAAGAAAUUGGAAUACCAGGAGACUGCUUGCCAUUUGCAAUGUUGGAAUGUGUGAUGUCGAAAGCCUCAUGAAUAUAGUAACUUGACUUAAUCUAAUAAGAAAAAGAAAAGACAUUGAGGAGAAAACUAGUCACCAGUCUUUCACCAAGAACAUGAGAUAACUUUCCAAUAUUUGAAAUAUUAUAAUAUGUCUAGAACUUGAAUGAGUGACAUAAUAUGUAUUGAUAUUGAAUGUGCGACCAGUUUUUCACCAGGAAAAUAAGAUCACUUAUCUAUUUUUGAAAUAUGUAUGAACAGAACUCUAUCAACUUCAAGGUGAGAGUUUAUCAUGAAGAACAUGAGAUAACUUGUGUAUGAACAGAACCACAUUUGAAUAUAGAGGCGCCAGUUCAUCACCAAGAAGAUGAGCUAACUUAUUAAUGUUUGAAAUCUGUUAUACCCCUGCACAACAAAGUUGUAAGGGGGCUAUACUGGAAUCAGCUUGUCCGGCCGUCGGGCGUCUGUCGCAUUUUUCAUGUCUGUCCAUAAAAUUAAGAUUCCUUUGACCCACAGUCUUCAUAUUUAGCAUGGAGGUAAGUCAUGAUUAGUAGAUGACCUCCAUUAAUUUUGAGAACACCAAGUCAAAGGUCAAGGUCACAGGGGUCUUGACUGAAGAAAGCUUCUCUGCCCAAUAACUUAAGAAUCCUUCGACCCACAGUCUUCAUAUUUAGCAUGGAGGUUAGUCAUGAUUAGUAGAUGACCCCUAUUUAUUUUCAGGUCUAAGGUCAUGGUCACAGGGGCCUUGGCUAAUUAAAGCUUGUCCGUCCAAUUACCUAAGAAUCCUUAGACCUAUAGUCUUAAUAUUUGGCAUGGAGGUUAUUCAAGAUUAGUAGAAUACCCCUAUUGAUUUUGAGGUUACCGGGGCAAAGGUCAAGGUCACAGGGGCUUUUAUUACAAUAAGCUUGUCUGCUCAAAUGGUCUCAUAUAUUCAUCAUAAAACACCUCCAGGCAAGGCUGCAUGAAAUGGGGGGGGGGGGGGGUGUUAUUGAAGUCAUUCAAUGGCCGUUUUAGUUUUGAGGUCAGUAGGUCCAAGGUAAAGUUCACUUUGAUCUUUUCUACUAAAACAUGUAGAAUAUAUAACUUAGCAAUGCACUGGCUUACUUCCCUCAGAUUUGGCUGAGCUGUAAAUGACUACUGUUGAUUCUGACAAAUUGGUAUGUGGGGGUAUUCAAGCUAUGACAAUGACAGUUCUAGUUUGUACAGAAAAUAUCAAGAUGCAAGU